rnacentral:rRNA from 1 species
GACGAACGCUGGCGGCGUGCUUAACACAUGCAAGUCGAACGGAAAGGCCCCUUUGGGGGUACUCGAGUGGCGAACGGGUGAGUAACACGUGUGUAACCUGCCCUUGACUUCGGGAUAACUUCAGGAAACUGGGGCUAAUACCGGCUAGGAAUCCUUGCUGCAUGGUGGGGGUUGGAAAGCUUCGGCGGUUUUGGAUGGACUCGCGGCUUAUCAGCUUGUUGGUGGGGUAGUGGCUUACCAAGGCUUUGACGGGUAGCCGGCCUGAGAGGGCGACCGGCCACAGUGGGACUGAGAGACGGCCCAGACGCCGACGAGAGGCAGCAGGGGGGAAUAUUGCACAAUGGGCGGAAGCCGGAUGCAGCAGCGCCGCGGGCGGGAAGACGGCCUUCGGGUUGUAAACCGCUUUCAGCAGGGGCGAAGCUUGUGGUGACGGUACCUGCAGAAGAAGCACCGGCUAACUACGUG